ACACUCCCUGGGCUGGGCUGGGCUGAGCUGGGCUGGAUCCCCUUCCUUUCUCUUCCCAUUGUCUCCAGGUCCACUGAAAAGGGCAGGCACCCUGUAAAUGAGUUUCCCUCCUGCUCUUGCUGGGUGGAGGAGACAGGCAGAGGUUUAGCCCUUAAAAAGACAUGGCUAGGAUAUCCAGCCCUAGUGGCCUGAGAAUACAGCAAGAUGGUACUUAACUUACUGCUAGAUCCUUGGCGACUGGCAUGGUGCCUGGCAUAUCCGAGGUCCUGAUGAAUGUUUGCUGAAUGAAGAGCUGAAUAGAUGAGUGAUGAGACCUGGCUGCGAGUGUGCCCCCUGAGUGGACCCGCUCCCUGGUUCUCUGGUUCUCUUCCAUCUCCUCCCCCUGACUUCUCCAAUCCUGGCUCUUUCUCUGCAGACGGAGCUGUCACUGCAAAAGGAGCAGCUGCAGCUCAAGAUCAUUGAGAUUGAGGAUGAAGCUGAGAAGUGGCAGAAGGAGAAGGACCGCAUCAAGAGCUUCACCACCAAUGAGAAGGCCAUCCUGGAGCAGAACUUCCGGGACCUGGUGCGGGACCUGGAGAAGCAAAAGGAGGAAGUGAGGGCUGCGCUGGAGCAGCGGGAGCAGGAUGCUGUGGACCAAGUGAAGGUGAUCGUGGAUGCUCUGGAUGAGAGAGCC
rnacentral:sRNA from 1 species